GUCGAUAGCUUUGAAGAUUUGGGGGGAGGGGGGGAAUCUAUGUACAAAUACAGCUUAAAACACAGAAAGAAGUGAGCUUUAAAGGAAAAUAUUCACUCUCACUACCCCUGUCCAGGAAGAAAAGUGCUGAUCUGCAGCUUCCAAUCCGCUAAACUGGAGAGUAGAGGCUGCCUGAUCCAAGCCCAGCCAGUGUUGGUCUCCCCAAGCAUUCCUACCUUGCAAAGGCAACUUCCAGAUAAGCUGAUCAAGAUUCUGGAACUACAAGUCGAACUAGUCCCUGGAGCAGAAGUAAAAUUCCAAACCUACGGUCCCAUCCAGCCUGUCCACAAAAUUACUAUAUUGAUGAUAGCAGCAGAUACUCAUGAGAGGUAUGACUUAUGUUUCCUCCAUACCUAAAUAAAAAAGAGAAAGGACCAUUCUGGUUUCUCUGGAGAUUAAAUAGCAAAAGGAGGGCUUUAUUUGAUUAAUAAAUCUAGAUAUCCUGUGGAUUUUGUAGUGAUAUGCUUUGACAUUUAUAUCUAAGUAGUUCAUUUUUGCGAAAAAUCAAUAAAAUGGUUUUUCAAGCAGACCCUAUAGGCAUUUUCUUUUUUCUAUUAAGCAAUCCAUAUUGUUUACAUAAUAACUUUUAAAGGCCUAAAAAGGCAUUUUGUUAUAGUUGACUAUGAAUUUUAAUAUAUUUGAGAAAAAGGCUUUCCUCUAGUGACUAACUUUUACAUAUUCUUUGAAACUAUAAAGAUUUUUCACAUAUACCAAUUUAUUCCAUUCUCAUAAUAAUCCUAUGAGGCAGAUAAAGGAGCUAUUAUAUCUGUUUAUAAAUAGAAGGCAAAUGAGGUACAAAGAUGUUAAGGAAUACCACAAUUCAUUGUAGGAAGUUGGAAAAUCAAACUCAGUUCUUCUGACCACCAAUUCAAUACUCUAACAUCCAUUGAUUGUCCAGUGAUACUGCAAUGAUUAGUCUAAUUUUUAUGCUUCUCUAGUAACAUUUCAGUGGUUCUUUGUUUAGAGAGAUCUCAAAAAGAAUACACAGGUUCUUAUUCCGUGAUUCUGACUUUAGCCUUUGAUUUCAGCCUUGUCAGCACUGCACUGUAAGUAUUCACCUCAUUCACUAAAUACGUGCUGGGCAGAGUACAAGUAAACUGUCCUUAAUUUCUAUGUAAAACCCUGAAAGAUUUAUUGCUAAGGUAAAAUAUCUGAAGAAAAGAGUACCAUAGAAUAUGUCUUAUGAAAAUAAUUUGCCAUUACGCUUUACCAUUUACCAAAAUCCCUAUAUGCUUUUUUUUAGUUUUGCUUGGUUUUAAGCCUUUUAUAAAAAGAGUUAUCUUACUGUGUGUGAUCCUCUGGUCAUUUAAUCUCUAAAUGAUUAACCAUGAUCAUGAACUAUUAACCCAUAUUUAAUGUUCAGUGCUUCUUAUAAAACUUUCUUAGAUGCAAAA